AUUGAAAUACCGGUUUUCAUCUGAUCCCCGAAGUUAAAGAACUUCGAACCUGAUCAGUACUCAGAUGGGUGACCGCUUAGGGAUGCAGGUGCUGUA